UUUAGAUGCGACCAUAUCGUGUGGUUUCGUGUCCAUAAAUUUUUCAUGAUUUGACCUCAAAUCAGGUAGGAAUACCCGCUGAACUUAAGCAUAUCAAUAAGCGGAGGAAAAGAAAAUAACAAUGAUUCCCCUAGUAACUGCGAGUGAAGAGGGACAAGCUCAAAUUUUAAAUCUAUCGGGUUUUACCUGAUCGAGUUGUAAUUUGAAGAAGCGUUUUCUGCGUUUUUGGUUAGCUCAAGUCCUAUUGAAUGAGGCAUCAUGGAGGGUGAUAAUCCCGUCCGGUUGAUCAUUUGCGUUUUACGAUACGCUCUCUAAGAGUCAAGUUGUUUGGGAUUGCAGCUUAAAAUGGGAGGUAAAUUUCUCCUAAGGCUAAAUAACGGCGAGAGACCGAUAGCGAACAAGUACCGUGAGGGAAAGAUGAAAAGAACUUUGAAAAGAGAGUUAAACAGUACGUGAAAUUGUUGAAAGGGAAACGAUUGAAGCCAGUCGUACCUUCGGGUAAUCAGCCUUUCGGGUGCGAUUCUGUGGAGUGUGAGGAGCUUAACACCUUCAUGCUUUGCAUAUUUGUGCUCUUGGGUGUACUUGCCCAUGUGGUUGGUUAACAUCAAUUUUGAUUAUCAUAAAAUGACUGGAGGAAUGUAGCUUCGAUCUCGUAUUGAAGUGCUAUAGCCUUUGGUAGAUGUGAUGAUCGAGAUUGAGGAUUGCAACGGAUACCCUUCGGGGCUACCUGUCUGGUCUCUGAUCGUUGCUCUGGUGCCGAAAGCGUGCUUACGGUUAUCAAAGUCGAUGGUCAAUAGGUUAGAACGGGUUAAAUUCGUUAAGGAUGUUGACGUAAUGGCUUUAAACGACC
rnacentral:rRNA from 1 species